AUUGAACGCUGGCGGCCUGCUUUACACAUGCAAGUCGGACGAGUCGCGAACGGGUGAGUAACGCAUCGGAACGUACCUAGUAAUGGGGGAUAACUGUCCGAAAGGACAGCUAAUACCGCAUAUUAUUCGAGCGGCCGAUGUCUGAUUAGCUGCUUGGCGGGGGAAAGGCCCACCAAGGCGACGAUCAGUCGCGGGUCUGAUAGAAUGAUCCGGUGAACGGGGACUUAGAGACGGCCCAAAGGCCUAGGGGCGGCAGCGGUGGGGAAUUUUGGAGAAUGGGAGCAAGGCUGAUACAGCCAUGCGGCGUGUCUGAAGAGGGGCUUCAGGUGGUAAAGGACUUUUGUCCGGGCAGCGGUACCUGAAGAAGAAGCACCGGCUAACUACGUGCCAGCAGCCGCGGUAAUUC
rnacentral:rRNA from 1 species